rnacentral:guide_RNA from 1 species
AUAUAUAUAAACAACGACGAGACAUCUAGAUUAGUGUGUAUAUGAUGUAAU